AUUGAACACUGGCGGCGUGCUUAACACAUGCAAGUCGAUCGGUAACGCGGGGGCAACCCUGGCGACGAGAGGCGGACGGGUGAGGAACGCUUGGGAAUCUGCCCUUCAGCGGGGGACAACACGGGGAAACUCGUGCUAAUACCGCAUACGCUCCACGGAGGAAAGCCGGGGACCGCAAGGCCUGGCACUGAAGGAUGAGCCCAAGUCGGAUUAGCUAGUUGGCGGGGUAACGGCCCACCAAGGCGACGAUCUGUAGCUGGUCUGAGAGGACGAUCAGCCACACUGGGACUGAGACACGGCCCAGACUCCUACGGGAGGCAGCAGUGGGGAAUAUUGGACAAUGGGGGAAACCCUGAUCCAGCGACGCCGCGUGGGUGAAGAAGGCCUGCGGGUUGUAAAGCCCUUUCGGUAGGGACGAAAGCUCUCGACCUAACACGUCGGGAGGUUGACUUAACCUACAAAAGAAGCACCGGCUAACUCUGUGCCAGCAGCCGCGGUAA
rnacentral:rRNA from 1 species